rnacentral:antisense_RNA from 1 species
CUACACCACUGAGGGCUGUGACCUGGUGCAGCUAAGCUUGGAUCCCGACCAGAAGAUAGAGAUUGAAACGAUGAGGAAAACGAAGUGCCUAAUCCCGGCUAGACGCUAACUGCAGGGCAAGCUCCCCAGUGCUGUCGUUGUGUUUCGGAGGCCGAGAACCGCUAUCGGGCUUCCUCGGACUCUGGCCCUGGAGCGGGGAACCUCGAGGGAGAAGGCGAAACGAGUCUCCAGUGUGUUCUUGGGGCUUGGUGCGAGGCCCGGAGAGUUCUCUGCAGGCCCUGGCCCGGGCACUGAUUAAGGCCGCGAAGAGACUCACCGGGCUGCGGGCUUAGCUUCAGGCUUCUGAAGUCAGAGGGAGGGCUGACAGCUUCCACUUCUGGAGCUCCCCGGGAGACGGCAACUACCCAACCGUGUGGAACAUGGAGGAGACAUAUUUCUGCCUAUUUCUCUCCAUAAGUAUAAAAGACCAUAAAAGACCACCUAGGGACUUCAGAACCCAAAUAAUGACACAAUGUUAAUUUGCAGGUUCUCCCUCUACCUGCCACC